rnacentral:rRNA from 1 species
UACGUAGGGUGCAAGCGUUGUCCGGAAUUAUUGGGCGUAAAGAGCUCGUAGGCGGUUUGUCGCGUCUGCUGUGAAAACGCGAGGCUCAACCUCGCGCCUGCAUGGGUACGGGCAGACUAGAGUGCGGUAGGGGAGAUUGGAAUUCCUGGUGUAGCGGUGGAAUGCGCAGAUAUCAGGAGGAACACCGAUGGCGAAGGCAGAUCUCUGGGCCGUUACUGACACUGAGAAGCGAAAGCAUGGGGAGCGAACAGG